UACGGAGGGUGCAAGCGUUAUCCGGAAUCAUUGGGUUUAAAGGGUCCGCAGGCGGUCAAUUAAGUCAGGAGGUAGCAAAUCCAUAGCUUAACUAUGGAACUGCCUUUGAUACUGGUUGACUUGAGUUAUACGGAAGUAGAUAGAAUGUGUAGUGUAGCGGUGAAAUGCAUAGAUAUUACACAGAAUACCGAUUGCGAAGGCAGUCUACUACGUAUAUACUGACGCUCAUGGACGAAAGCGUGGGGAGCGA
rnacentral:rRNA from 1 species